AUGGGGACGAAGAAGCCGCAGCUCCUCCGCCUCGCCGUCGUCGCCGUCGCCGUCGCGGCCGUCCUUCUGACCGGUAACAACGACGAGCCGCAGCCUAACCUCCACCUGAUCUAUCGUCCUGUUGCGUCGCCUAAAGAUAUAUGUUCUGUUUUCUUUUCUCGAUUUGGUUUUGCUCACUCGGUUUCUCGAUCUGGCUCUCCAGCUUCGGCCAAGAAGUCCGCGGAUGUUACACAGCUCCAGAUCGGCGUCAAGUACAAGCCUGAAUCAUGUACCCUACAAGCUCACAAAGGCGACAAGAUUAAAGUGCAUUAUCAUGGGACACUCACUGAUGGAUCAGUAUUUGACUCUAGCUAUGACAGAGGUGAUCCCUUCGAAUUCACUCUUGGGAAUGGGCAGGUGAUAAAAGGUUGGGACCAAGGUUUACUAGGUAUGUGCGUCGGCGAAAAGCGGAAGCUAAGGAUACCCGCAAAGAUGGGUUACGGGGAGCGAGGCUCCCCACCAAAGAUUCCAGGUGGUGCGACUCUGGUUUUCGACACGGAGCUCAUCGCCGUGAAUGGGAGGACGUCUGCUGGCGCUGCCGCGGAGAGCGACGACAGCGAGCUUUGA
rnacentral:rRNA from 1 species